rnacentral:rRNA from 1 species
UAGAGAGAGACAUGCGCGCAUAUCAAUAAGCGGAGGAAAAGAAACUAACAAGGAUUCCCCUAGUAACGGCGAGUGAAGCGGGAAGAGCUCAAAUUUGAAAUCUUAAAGGGUUUCCCUUUACGAAUUGUAGUUUAAAGAAGUGUUUUCUGUUGAGGUUUUGGUAAAAGUUCUUUGGAAUAGGACAUCAUAGAGGGUGAGAAUCCCGUAUUUGACCUUUACUUUUCAACUGUGUGAUACACUUUCAAAGAGUCGGAUUGUUUGGGAAUGCAGUCCAAAAUGGGUGGUAAAUUUCAUCUAAAGCUAAAUAUUGGCGAGAGACCGAUAGCGAACAAGUACCGUGAGGGAAAGAUGAAAAGAACUUUGAAAAGAGAGUUAAACAGUACGUGAAAUUGUCAAAAGGGAAGCGUUUGACACCAGUGUUGUUUUUCUGAAAAUCAAUUAAAGAACUGUUUAUGCUAAGUUGUUUAGACUUUAUCAGCUAACUGUUUAGUUUUGAGCUUUUCUUUAAUGCACUUUUCAGUUAACAAGUCAACAUCAAUUUCUUUUGCUGUAAAAAAGCUUGAGGAAGGUGGCUUGAGAUUCGUCUUAAGUGUUUAUAGCCUCUUGCCUAUGCAGUCGGAGAGAUUGAGGUCUGCAGCGUAGAUCCUUCGGGGCUAAAUGCAUUUGUGCUAAGUUAUAGCAUUUUAUAGACAACUUGUUGACUAUGAUUUGUCUUGUAGCUUACUCGCUUAUGUUAUUUUACCUACGCUUAGGAUGUUGAGCGCAUGUCUCUCUCU